GAUGAACGCUGGCGGCGUGCCUAAUACAUGCAAGUCGAGCGAACGGACGAGAAGCUUGCUUCUCUGAUGUUAGCGGCGGACGGGUGAGUAACACGUGGAUAACCUACCUAUAAGACUGGGAUAACUUCGGGAAACCGGAGCUAAUACCGGAUAAUAUUUUGAACCGCAUGGUGCAAAAGUGAAAGACGGUCUUGCUGUCACUUAUAGAUGGAUCCGCGCUGCAUUAGCUAGUUGGUAAGGUAACGGCUUACCAAGGCAACGAUGCAUAGCCGACCUGAGAGGGUGAUCGGCCACACUGGAACUGAGCCACGGUCCAGACUCCUACGGGAGGCAGCAGUAGGCAAUCUUCCGCAAUGGGCGAAAGCCUGACGGAGCAACGCCGCGUGAGUGAUGAAGGUCUUCGGAUCGUAAAACUCUGUUAUUAGGGAAGAACAUAUGUGUAAGUAACUGUGCACAUCUUGACGGUACCUAAUCAGAAAGCCACGGCUAACUACGUG
rnacentral:rRNA from 1 species